UUUGAUUGGUUUCGAUCGCACGAGGGCGAGAAAAGAUAGAUUGGUUGUGUUGAGAUUUUUGGUUGGAUGACGAUUACUCGGAUGGUCGAGUAAGACAACUCGUAUCCUAAUUGUUGGAUGUUUUGAUUGGUUUCGAUCGCACGAGGGCGAGAAAAGAUAGAUUGGUUGUGUUGAGAUUUUUGGUUGGAUGACGAUUACUCGGAUGGUCGAGUAAGACAACUCGUAUCCUAACAGUCGG
rnacentral:lncRNA from 1 species